rnacentral:rRNA from 1 species
GGGGGGCAUAGUGAAGAGGAGGAUCUUUUGAUUUAUGAGGGGAUAUUUGGUUGUAGCUGGCUCAUGAAUUUGGGCAUGUGCACACCUAUCUCUUUCAUCCACACACACCUGUGCACUUGUGAGGCAGAUGGGGAAUUUAUUGAUUGUUUUUUAAGAACAAUUGGUGCUGGACCCUCUGUCUACUCAAUACAUAAACUCAAUUUAUUUAGAAAUGAAUGUAAUGGAUGUAACGCAUCUAAUACUAAGUUUCAACAACGGAUCUCUUGGCUCUCGCAUCGAUGAAGAACGCAGCGAAAUGCGAUAAGUAAUGUGAAUUGCAGAAUUCAGUGAAUCAUCGAAUCUUUGAACGCACCUUGCGCUCCUUGGUAUUCCUUGGAGCAUGCCUGUUUGAGUAUCAUGAAAUCUUCAAAGUAAAUCUUUUGUUAACUCAAUUGGUUCUACUUUGGUAUUGGAGGUCUUUGCAGCUUCACACCUGCUCCUCUUUGUUCAUUAGCUGGAUCUCAGUGUUAUGCUUGGUUCCACUCAGCGUGAUAAGUUAUCUAUCGCUGAGGACACUGUAACAGGUGGCCAAGGGAAAUGCAGAUGAACCGCUUCUAGUAGUCCAUUGACUUGGACAAUAUUUUUAUGAUCUGAUCUCAAAUCAGGUAGGACUACCCGCUGAACUUAAGCAUAUCUAANNNCGGGAGGAAA